rnacentral:rRNA from 1 species
CCAGCUCCAAUAGCGUAUAUUAAAGUUGUUGCAGUUAAAAAGCUCGUAGUUGAACUUCUGGGCCGGCUUGAGGUCUUUCUUUGACUGAACUGACGGCCGGUCCUUUCCUUCUGGCUAACUAGGUGCUAUUUAUUUAGUGCUUAGAGAUCCAGGACUUUUACUUUGAAAAAAUUAGAGUGUUUAAAGCAGGCUUACGCUUGAAUACAUUAGCAUGGAAUAAUAAAAUAGGACUUUGGUUUUAUUUUGUUGGUUUCUAAGACCGAAGUAAUGAUUAAUAGGGUCAGUUGGGGGCAUUAGUAUUCAAUCGUCAGAGGUGAAAUUCUUGGAUUGAUUGAAGACUAACUACUGCGAAAGCAUUUGCCAAGGAUGUUUUCA